rnacentral:rRNA from 1 species
CACGUAGGGUGCGAGCGUUGUCCGGAAUUAUUGGGCGUAAAGAGCUCGUAGGCGGUGUGUCGCGUCGGCCGUGAAAACCUGCAGCUUAACUGUGGGCGUGCGGUCGAUACGGGCAUCACUGGAGUUCGGCAGGGGAGACUGGAAUUCCUGGUGUAGCGGUGGAAUGCGCAGAUAUCAGGAGGAACACCGGUGGCGAAGGCGGGUCUCUGGGCCGAGAUUGACGCUGAGGAGCGAAAGCGUGGGGAGCGAACAGG